rnacentral:lncRNA from 1 species
AUUCAUAUUCAGACAUUUAGGUCUAUUUAAAUUUCAAAUAAAAAAAGCCACCUAUUUCUUCACAAUAUGAAUUGAUAAAUAAAACAAAAUGUAAUAUUCAUAAUAAUCUUUGGUCAACAUGUUAAUAAAAAUGUUUUUAUUAAAUUACGUCAUUUUCAACUUUUACAAACGUUAAAUCAAUUUUUUUUUAAAUAACUCAAUUAAUAAUUGUUAAAUAACUGACGUGUUAUAAAAAAAUUAAUUUUGAACCAACAGCUGCCUAAUAAAACAAUAAUAACAAUUUCCACCCCCCCUUUGAAUUUUCUUUUUCCUUUUUAGUUUUCUUUUUUUUUUUAAUAAUGUUUAUUUUUUGGACUUCUUUUUCUUUGAUGUAACAAAAAAACAAAAACACGACGAGACAAGAUACCAUUAAAAAGCUUAAGCCCACAGCGCAGCUAGCCGAACGCACUGUAAAGCUAAGAUAUUAUCAUCUCGGUUUGACACAAAACGGUUUGAGGGAGAUGGGGGUGCGGGUACCCCGUGGGUGGCGGACAAAUCGGCGACCCCACCAGCUCUUCUCAGGACAUGAUUACUUUAUCUCAUUACUCUCCAGCCAGUGGGGCCCACCACGUAGAAUACCUUUUAUACUCCCGCCAUCGGUGCCACGCUAAAUAGCCUCAAAAUUACAAUUCAAUGGCCAAUAGUAGAGCUGGCAAAAUGGGUCAUCAGCUCAAGUUCGUAUCGUGUCAAAUUUAAAUCUAUUUAAAUCUAAUCUA